UGUGUGUGUGUGUGUGUGUGUGUGUGUGUGUGUGUGUGUGUGUGUGUGUGUGUGUGUGUGUGUGUGUGUGUGUGUGUGUGUGUGUGUGUGUGUGUGUGUGUGUGUGUGUGUGUGUGUGUGUGUGUGUGUUUUCUCUUUUUUCAGUUAUGAGUACGUCAUCCCGGACUCCCAGCUGCUGGCUUCCUCAGGCAUCAUUGGACUACUGGAGCAAAACGCUAGCGAUGUCUCAGGGAUCCCCGUGGCGGUGGGGGACUACCGCCGGAUGGACCAGAGCGUGCCCCUCUACAUGGAAUCGUUCCGGCUAUGCCACAGACUUCCCGGGAUAGAGCCCAAUAUACUAGGGUACCUGAUGCCCUUUACGGCUCCGAUCUGGGUAACGUUGCUUGCAACAAUCGUCACUGUAGCAGUUUCGCUGUUUUUUAUGCAGUUUUAUGCCGUACUACCAACCAACAGUCAGCG